rnacentral:rRNA from 1 species
UACGGAGGGUGCGAGCGUUGUCCGGAAUCAUUGGGCGUAAAGGGCGCGUAGGUGGCCCGGUCAGCGUGCGGUGAAAGCUCGGGGCUCAACCCCAAGUCGGCCGUGCGAACUGCUGGGCUGGAGCACUGUAGAGGCAGGCGGAAUUCCGGGUGUAGCGGUGGAAUGCGUAGAGAUCCGGAAGAACACCGGUGGCGAAGGCGGCCUGCUGGGCAGUGGCUGACACUGAGGCGCGACAGCGUGGGGAGCAAACAGG